rnacentral:rRNA from 1 species
AGUACGAGAGGACCGGGGUGAACGUAUCUCUGGUGGACCAGUUGUCAUGCCAUUGGCAUAGCUGGGUAGCUAUAUACGGAAGGGAUAACCGCUGAAGGCAUCUAAGUGGGAAGCCCUCCUCAAGAUGAAAUAUCCCUCUAUCUUAAGAUAGCUAAAGGGCCCUGGAAGACUACCAGGUUGAUAGGCUGGAAGUAUAAGCAUGGUAACAUGUUCAGCUGACCAGUACUAAUCGCCC